UUGAAGGUCAGGAAGGGCGGCGGUGAGGAGAUACCCUUCGUCCAAGGCCUUCUGGGACCUCAGUUCUGGGACAAUGAGGCUCCUCUGUAUCUUCCUCACUGCUCUCUCGAUCCUCUUCCAGACAGCACUAGGGCGCUCAAUUUUGAAAGACCCUGCCAUCUUCGGGAUGGAAUCUGCCUGAAGCGAGGGACACCGAGCUGUGAGCCCUUCAGAGGACCUUGCGGGCAGUCACUGUUUGCUGCCAAAUAAAGCCGAGCUGAUGGAGGCAGCCCAGCUGAGGAAACCAGCGAGAGACCCAGAGCAAUCUCCUCUUGUGCAAAUAAAAGCAGACAGUUCUCACAUCUACACAAUCAACUAUUUUAUCAUUAGGACUGAUUAAAGUUGUUUUCAGGGUAGGCAGGGUAGGCAAUG